GUCGGUGGCUGGCAUUCUCACCUGCUGGGCAAUCGUCUUCAAGCACUUUCUCAAAGAAUUUGACUGCGAAGAGGACGAAGAGACGCAGGAGAACAUUGCCAAGAUACUGGAGGACAAGUAUCUCACUCUUGGGGGCAUAAGCAAAGGCGAAGUAUUCAUCCUUGCCAGCCUGGUUGUCCUGUGCCUUCUGCUCGUCUUCCGCACAUCCACCCUGGCACCGUUCGGAUGGCAAGAGUUUAUCGGCAUUG